rnacentral:misc_RNA from 1 species
GAUGAAGAACGUAGCGAAAUGCGAUAAGUAAUGUGAAUUGCAGAAUUCAGUGAAUCAUCGAAUCUUUGAACGCACAUUGCGCCCGUCAGUAUUCUGGCGGGCAUGCCUGUUCGAGCGUCAUUACGCCCCUCAAGUCCCCUGUGGACUUGGUGUUGGGGAUCGGCCAGGCUGGUUUUCCAGCACAGCCGUCCCUUAAAUUAAUUGGCGGUCUCGCCGUGGCCCUCCUCUGCGCAGUAGUAAAACACUCGCAACAGGAGCCCGGCGCGGUCCACUGCCGUAAAACCCCCCAACUUUUUAUAGUUGACCUCGAAUCAGGUAGGACUACCCGCUGAACUUAAGCAUAUCAAUAAGCGGAGGA